GUGCUCGCUUCGGCAGCACAUAUACUAAAAUUGGAACAAUAUAGAAAAGGUUAGCAUGGCCCUGAGCAAGGAUGAUAUGCAAAUUUGUGAAGCGUUCCAUAUUUUU
rnacentral:snRNA from 1 species